AUUGAACGCUGGCGGCAGGCCUAACACAUGCAAGUCGAGCGGCUGAAGGGAGCUUGCUCCUGGAUUCAGCGUCGGACGGGUGAGUAAUGCCUAUGAAUCUGCCUGGUAGUGGGGGAUAACGUCCGGCAACGGGCGCUAAUACCGCAUACGUCCUGAGGGAGAAAGUGGGGGAUCUUCGGACCUCACGCUAUCAGAUGAGCCUAGGUCGGAUUAGCUAGUUGGUGGGGUAAAGGCCUACCAAGGCGACGAUCCGUAACUGGUCUGAGAGGAUGAUCAGUCACACUGGAACUGAGACACGGUCCAGACUCCUACGGGAGGCAGCAGUGGGGAAUAUUGGACAAUGGGCGAAAGCCUGAUCCAGCCAUGCCGCGUGUGUGAAGAAGGUCUUCGGAUUGUAAAGCACUUUAAGUUGGGAGGAAGGGCAGUAAGUUAAUACCUUGCUGCUUUGACGUUACCAACAGAAUAAGCACCGGCUAACUUCGUG
rnacentral:rRNA from 1 species